ACCUAAUAAAAAAUGUGAUCGAAAUCAACUCUUUGAUUAUGUCUCAAACACACACAACAGACUACUAUUCAGACAAGAGCCUCCAGAUUUGUCAAUGCGGCUGGUCCAAAGUUACGACUUACCAGGGCCUGAGAACCCACCAAGGCAUGAUGGGAUGCACGCCAAAGGGUGUGAAGGUUGAAGCGAAUGAACAGCAGUACAUGUGGGGUCAUGUGGGACUCACAGACAAUCAAAAAGACUUCAGGCUGGAUGUCGACACUUCUAUCAAGACUGACACAACAGACUACUAUUCAGGCAUGAGCCUCCAGGUUUGUCACUGUGGCUGGUCCAAAGUUACGACUUACCAAGGCCUGAGAAUCCACCAGGGGAAGAUGGGAUGCACGCCGAAGAAAACGAGGAGCCCAAAGACAGAGGAGUGCGACUGGAACAAUCAGGGGGAAGAAGUGGGUCAAAGGAAACAUCAGCCAGCUAAGAGAACAACUGUCAAGAAGGAGAAUGCGCCGUUGCGGCCAAGCACCAACAGCCGUACCAUCUCUGCAGAAAAAAC
rnacentral:lncRNA from 1 species